AUGGUGGCUCAGUGGUAAAGCGCUUGUUUUGCAUGCAUGAGGCCCUGGGUCCGAUUCCCCAGCACCAUA
rfam:Dipodomys ordii contig_49269, whole genome shotgun sequence.